rnacentral:rRNA from 1 species
UGGGGAAUAUUGUGCAAUGGGCGAAAGCCUGACGCAGCCACGCCGCGUGAGUGAUGAAGGCCUUCGGGUUGUAAAGCUCUGUCGGGAGGGACGAAGGGAGCAAUCCCUGACGGUACCUCGCAAGAAAGCACCGGCUAACUCUGUGCCAGCAGCCGCGGUAAUACAGAGGGUGCAAGCGUUGUUCGGAUUUACUGGGCGUAAAGCGUACGCAGACGGCUUGGUAGGUCGGAUGUGAAAGCCCCGGGCUCAACCCGGGAAUUGCAUCCGAAACCACCUCGCUCGAGUGUGGGAGAGGGAAGCGGAAUUCCUGGUGUAGAGGUGAAAUUCGUAGAUAUCAGGAGGAACACCGGCGGCGAAGGCGGCUUCCUGGCCCAUUACUGACGUUCAGGUACGAAAGCGUGGGUAGCAAACAGGAUUAGAUACCCUGGUAGUCCACGCCGUAAACGAUGUGUGCUGGAUGUCGGGGGUAUUCACCCCCUCGGUAUCGAAGCCAACGCGAUAAGCACC